rnacentral:rRNA from 1 species
GACGAACGCUGGCGGCGUGCUUAACACAUGCAAGUCGAACGGACAGACAGAGAGCUUGCUCUCUUGAAGUUAGUGGCGAACGGGUGAGUAACGCGUAAUCAAACUGCCCUUAAGAGGGGGAUAACAACGGGAAACCGUUGCUAAUACCGCGUACGAUUCAUGAACGGCAUCGUUUAUGAAUGAAAGGUGGCCUCUAUGUAUAAGCUAUCGCUGAAGGAGGGGAUUGGGUCUGAUUAGCUAGUUGGAGGGGUAACGGCCCACCAAGGCAAUGAUCAGUAGCCGGUCUGAGAGGAUGAACGGCCACAUUGGGACUGAGACACGGCCCAAACUCCUACGGGAGGCAGCAGUGGGGAAUCUUCCGCAAUGGACGAAAGUCUGACGGAGCAACGCCGCGUGAGUGAUGAAGGUCUUCGGAUUGUAAAGCUCUGUUAAUCGGGACGAAAGAGUUCUGCGUGAAUAAUGCAGAAAAGUGACGGUACCGGAAUAGAAAGCCACGGCUAACUACGUGCCAGCCGCCGCGGUAA